rnacentral:rRNA from 1 species
CAAUGACCCGAGUAGCAUGAGACACGUGAAACCCUGUGUGAAUCCGCGAGUGUGAAUCCGCGAGGACCACCUUGUCAGGC